rnacentral:rRNA from 1 species
UACGUAUGGUGCAAGCGUUGUUCGGAUUUAUUGGGCGUAAAGGGUCCGCAGGGGGUUUAUUAAGUCUGAUGUGAAAUCUCACGGCUCAACCGUGAAACUGCAUUGGAAACUAGUAGACUAGAGUAUUGGAGAGGCAAGUGGAAUUCCUAGUGGAGCGGUGGAAUGCGUAGAUAUUAGGAAGAACACCGAGAGCGAAGGCAGCUUGCUGGACAAUUACUGACCCUCAGGGACGAAAGCGUGGGUAGCAAACAGG